GAGCAUAUAGCUCAGUGGUAGAGUGCAUGCUUAGCAUGCACGAGAUCCUGGGUUCAAUCCCCAGCACCUCCA
rnacentral:tRNA from 1 species